UUUCCAGCAAGGGGGAGAGGAAGGACAAAAGGCUAUGCCUUGGGCUCCAAAGUUUAGGAGAGGAGCCAUGGAGAUGGACAGAGAGAGAUCCCAUUGUCUCUGGACACUGCUGGCCAAGGGCCUCCACCUCAGGAGCUGCUGCCUCUCAUCCACUUCCGGGGCGAGGGUAAUGGAAGCUCCCUACCGCCAAGCACCACGACCCUCCCCUGCCUUCUCCAGGCCUAAGGGUCAAGCUGCCAGGCCACCAGGCAGUGCCAGGUACGAGGAUGACAACACCUAGCCAACCCGCGGAGAAGGCGAUACUUACAGCAUGCCUACUGUGUGCAAAAUGCCAUGCUGAAGGCUGUCAGGGCUUGAAAGGUGAUGAUUCAGCAGAGGAUGCUGUUUGUGCCUCACCCCGUGUCCUCUAGCCCACUUCUCCACUCAUCUGCCACCGUGAUGGGAAGGUGUCAGCAAGCCCAGGAAUUGUCCACCCUAAGCAGCCUUUCUGCUUCUCACCUGCAGAGUUUCUCCAGUGCAGGGACCAAGAGAGCUUUACUCAGCCCACAGGACAGCUGGGAUUUAGCACUGCAGGGGCAACCCUCAAGUUAUUAAUAAGAGAUAAGAAUGGGUGGAUAAGCAACCUGGCUGCCUUGGAACUCCGUGGGACAAUUCCAUGGUGUGUUCUCACAGUUCCUCAGUGGGCCCCCAUUGCCCACAAUGAAACUCGAUCAUUAACCACUCUUCACUGGCUUUUCUCCUAACCCAUCCCUAUCUCACUUCCCCUUUCCCUCCCUCCAGCCUCCAGGGAUCACCUCCUCAGUAAACUACCUGCACCCAAGUUCUUGUCUCAGGGUCUGAUUUCAGGAGAAACCAAACUAGGACAUGCAGAGACACGCGUGCACACAUACACAUACACACACACACACACACACACGCGCACAUCUCUGUGAAAAGAUGAGGCACAGAGAAGAAUCAUUCCCAGUCAUGACUGGAUGGCACCAAUAAUAAAGGCUGACACGUCCAAAGCUCUAAGACUGUGCUCCUCACUUU
rnacentral:lncRNA from 10 species